rnacentral:rRNA from 1 species
AUUGAACGCUGGCGGCAUGCCUUACACAUGCAAGUCGAACGGCGGCGCGGACUUCGGUCUGGCGGCGAGUGGCGAACGGGUGAGUAAUACAUCGUAACGUACCCGGUUGUGGGGGAUAACUAGUCGAAAGAUUAGCUAAUAACGCAUACGACCUGAGGGUGAAAGUGGCGGACCGCAAGGCCUCACGCACCAGGAGCGGCCGAUGUCUGAUUAGCUAGUUGGUGGGGUAAAGGCCCACCAAGGCGACGAUCAGUAGCUGGUCUGAGAGGACGAUCAGCCACACUGGGACUGAGACACGGCCCAGACUCCUACGGGAGGCAGCAGUGGGGAAUUUUGGACAAUGGGGGCAACCCUGAUCCAGCAAUGCCGCGUGUGUGAAGAAGGCCUUCGGGUUGUAAAGCACUUUUGUCCGGAAAGAAAUCGCGCUGGUUAAUACCUGGCGUGGAUGGCGGCACCGGAAGAAUAAGCACCGGCUAACUACGUGCCAGCCGCCGCGGUAA